UGGCUCAAGGGGCUCCCGGUUAAGACACCGCCCUUUCACGGCGGUAACACGGGUUCGAAUCCCGUACGGGUCAU
rnacentral:tRNA from 1 species